UGGUGUUCUAUGGUUCUGUGAUAGACCAGAGAUGGUGUUCUAUGGUUCCGUGAUAGACCAGAGAUGGUGUUCCAUGGUUCCAUGAUAGGUCCAAAGAUGGUGUUCUAUGGUUCUGUGAUAGACCAGAGAUGGUGUUCUAUGGUUCCAUGACAGACCCAAGAUGGUAUUCUAUGGUUCUGUGAUAGACCAGAGAUGGUGUUCUAUGGUUCUGUGAUAGAACCAGAAAUGGUGUUUCCAUGGUUCCAUGCCCUUCCUACUUUUUCCUCCUAAGAUUGGAGGCAGAUUGUAGUUCAGAGUAACAAAAGACUUACUAACAAAUCUGAACUGCCCAGCAAUGGCACAGAUAAUGAUCCCGACCACUGAGUAUCCAAACACAGAAGCAUUUGAUCAUCUAUCCAGCAGCUCUACAGAACAGAUUUUUAUAGAGUCAAGAGACCUCACUUACCAUGACAGACUCAUUCAUGCUCUGCAUAUGGAAGUCGUCCAUGCUGACCACAGUCCCACCAGCCACUACUUCACUGCCCCCUUGACUGGACUGGGGGAGAUCAAAAUAUGUGCUGUCUGGCUCCCUGAGAAAAGAUGAGAAAGCCUUUAGCACUACUUGAACACCCUCACCGACCUGCCCAAGGGUAGUGUUAAUUUGAAGAGGAAAGGAGUCCUGCCCUCUAGAGCCAAGCAGAACAACAUGACUCUUGCCCUCUACUCCAAGUCGCCAAUCCUAACAAUGUUCCAAAUGACCUCGUGGAACCCCACCUUUCCACCUCACCUCUUCCCUGGUCAUCAGGUUCUUUCCUACAACACCCAAGACCCUCAGGAGAGGAAUCAGUGGGCUCUGCAAACUACUAGGAAGUACCUCAUUUUAUAUGAUGCAUCCUAAGGAAAGUUCAUGGCGUUGGUGACCCAUUUGGCUGCAUUUCCUGCCCAUGUGCCUAUCUGCCUAGAACUGGACACCAGACCUCAUGAGAGGCUGAACCUAGUCUGAGCUGAGGAAACACAUCCCUAGACUUCUACUUCAUCUCCCCGGGAUAUAGACUCUGAAGGAAACUCACAG